GAGACAGCAGCAGCCGCGGGAAUACAGAGGGUGCGAGCGUUAAUCGGAUUUACUGGGCGUAAAGCGUGCGUAGGCGGCUUCUUAAGUCGGAUGUGAAAUCCCUGAGCUUAACUUAGGAAUUGCAUUCGAUACUGGGAAGCUAGAGUAUGGGAGAGGAUGGUAGAAUUCCAGGUGUAGCGGUGAAAUGCGUAGAGAUGUGGAGGAAUACCGAUGGCGAAGGCAGCCCCCUGGGCCAAUACUGACGCUCAUGCACGAAAGCGUGGGGAGCAAACAGGAUUAGAUACCCCUGUAGUCCCUGUCUCUUAUAC
rnacentral:rRNA from 1 species